AACUUCACACAUUGAGGAGACCAGUAAACACAUGCUGUGGGUGAUCCUUCUUUAUGUGGAUAGAGCAAUUUCUUAAAGCUGGUGAACAUAUGUGUCCACAAAAUCCCUAAAAGGAAUGUGUGUAAAAUAGAUGUACCAGGACCAUGCAAUUCUUAUUGUACAAAUGCAUUUGCAGAUUGUUACUAUUUGGGAAUAACGAUGGCCUAAUCCAGGUGAGGGUAAUAAUACAUCAGGAAGGUAAUAAUUUUUAUCUGGGGCAGAGGUCACUUUGCUCCUGUCUUAACAGGGGCUCUCUAUGGCUUCGGCAAGAGGGCCCAAAAAUGCAUGUCCUGACAUUGCAAAUGGCAAAACAGAGAUCUCAACCAAAUAUUCAUGAAGCACUGUGUUUGGAGUCUCCCAGCAUCGAGCCCCAUAUCUUCAAGAAAAAUCUAAACUAAGCUUUUUACAUACCUUUAUUGCCUUUGACCCUCACAGCAACUCUGUUAAGUCAACAGAAUUAUCCCAAUUUCACAGAUAAUGAAAAUGAAGCUUAAGAAGGCCAAAUAAUAUUUCCAUAGAUCAUAUAGGCAUUGAGGGGUGGGACUGGGAUUUUUAAUCUGUCUGAUCCCAAAGUCCGUCCUCUCACCCGGUUUCCAUUAGAUGAUGCUAUCUUCCAUGCACUGUAUCUUUUAUGCUCUAUAUGCCUAAGUUUUCUAAUCUAUAAAAUGGGAAUAAUAAUACCUAACUAAUGAAAAUCAAGAGAUUACCUAUAUGAGGGCAUUUUACAGAAAUGUAAAUUGUUAUUCUAAUAGUAAUUCCACGUUCAUCUCUUCCACUGUCAGCCUCAUUAUUAUAAACACAUGUGAAAAGUUUAUACUAGGCCAGUUAUAUGGACCUUGCUUGGCACAUAACUGAAAUGUAACUUUA
rnacentral:lncRNA from 10 species